GACGAAGGAUGCAAGCGUUAUCCGGAUUCAUUGGGUUUAAAGGGUGCGUAGGCGGACUGAUAAGUCAGUGGUGAAAUCUCUCGGCUUAACCGAGAAACUGCCAUUGAUACUGUUAGUCUAGAGUAUAGAUGACGUUGGCGGAAUAUGACAUGUAGUGGUGAAAUACUUAGAUAUGUCAUAGAACACCGAUUGCGAAGGCAGCUAACGAAAACUAUAACUGACGCUGAGGCACGAAGGUGCGGGGAUCAAACAGG
rnacentral:rRNA from 1 species